AAACUUAGGCUAGCACAGACCAAAGGCCUUCAAAGCCUUAAG
rnacentral:tRNA from 1 species